CAACCUUACAGACCACAUGCAAAAACGAUUUUUUUAAAAGACAGGGUCUCACUAAGUACACCAGGUUGGCCUGACAACAUGACCCUGUCUGACUCUUGGAAGCUAUUGGGAUAGCAAGGAGCAACAUGUCAGCAUUCCCUCUCGUUUUAGUAAUAUAUAUAACUCUGCACCCACAAAAUGUAGGCAGGGACUCCAUUUGGAGCUACACCCAAAGCCCUGCACUGGGAAUUCUAGACAGGGGUUCUAGCUCUGAGCUACUCUCUCAGCCCCUCCCUGGGGGAUUCUAGACAGGGACAUUUAUUUAUUUUAUGAACGUGAGUACACUGUCGUUGUCUUCAGACACACCAGAAGAAAGCAUUGGAUCCUAUUACAGAUGGUUGUGAGCCACCAUGUAGUUGCUGGGAAUUGAAUUCAGGACCUCUGGAAGAGCAGUCAGUACUCAUAACUGCUGAGCCAUCUCUCUAGCCCAUUGAAAUAAGUUUUUAAAACUCUAAUUACAAUGUUGUGCAAAGACCAGCACUGCCUACCCCAGUAGAUCCCAUCCCUAUCAGCUGUCACUUCUGUCCCUGCUCCAGUCCCUGAGCUACUUGCCCUCUGCCUGUCCCUGGAGGUAAUUUCUGCACCCAGGUAUUCACCAUGUGGCCUUCUGUGUUGGCCGUUGUCACUCAGCAGUGGGUUUUGUGUUGUGUCUAAGUAUCCAAGGUGCCAUAGUAUGUAUGCUGUGUGGAGCAUAUUCUACCAUCCAUCAAGGUGUAGUGGGACCCUGCAAGGUGGGCGACUCUCGCUGCUGUUGGGGUGCCCUAUUUUAGACUGUGCAGAUGAGUUCUUUCACACUGUCCCCUGGAUCAGAGCCUGUGUAGACGGGGUGGGCUGUGGCCUGUGAACUUCACUGGAUCCCACCAGAUGAAAGGAGGCAUGGAUCCGUGCCUGAAGGAGAUACUGUAUAUAAACUGACUCAACUGUAAGCCCCCAGAACAACUGUGGGGUGUCAGUUAUCCCUGGGGUAAGUGGACAAGCUGAUGAGGCUGGACUUCAGUGACGGGGAGACCAUGCUGCUGGUAUUAGGCACACCCCUGUUCCUGUCAGGUGUGGUGGGGUGUAUCUUCGAUCCAAACAUUUGGGAGGCUGAGGCAUGAGGAUCACAAGUUUCAGGCCAUCUUAGAUACACAAAGAAAUAACGACACCCAAUAUGCACCUGCCCACAGCCUGCAACAUAUUGGACCUCAGACUUCGCCACCUAGUGCCCUCAUCUAGAAUAUUCUCUGCCUCAUCCCCAUCUCCAGCUCAGUGCCUCAGAAUGAGGGAGACAGUCCCUAGUGGGCCAGGACCACAAGGAUAUCACAUCCCUCAAGCCCUCUCUGUGUAAAAUCCACUCGGCCCCUACUGAAAACCCCGUGCAUACACAGCCAUGUAUCCUAUCAGGAGAGGAGUCCCUGCAGACAGCAGGGGCAUGCAAAGGUCCUGCAGCAGGAAUGAGGUUGUAUGUUUAUAGGGGUCCAAGGAGGCUCUGGUAGGUGAGUGAAGGGUAGGAAAGAGGAGGGAGGCAGGACUGGGGACACACUCCUAUCUGGCUUACAGAGCCCCAUUCAGAUCCUGUGGGCACAGCUGGGUAUGAAUGCCAUGUGGGCAUGGGGUCCUGGGAGCUGGCUGUGAGGCCAGUUCAUGAAUGGUGGAGGGCCCUGACCUGGCUCCUAAGCACUAUUUGGCCUCAAAAGGGCCAUCAGACAGACAAAGCGCAAGGUAGACCACGGCAACUUGGGUCCCCUGUGGCCAAGGCACGCCUGUGUGUCUCAGUUUUCACACAGGAACGCUGUGAAUUCUGGGAUACCAGAACCCUGCACAAGACAGUGCGUGUGGACCACAAACAUUCCCUGACUCCUCCCAAGCUUCUCACUGCACUAGGCCGGCAGCAAAGCUCUCCAGGGAUCCCAGGAGCACGUGCAGAAGCGAGGCCACCCUCCUGGACACCCAGGGAAACUGAGGCGCGCGACUCCACUCCGCGCUGCCAAGGCACAAGUCUCGGAAUCUCUUUCCUAUAACAGCCACACCUGCCUCCGUUUGAGCCUUCGAGCACACAAAUCACCCCUGCCCUCAAUACUUGCACACCUGGCCUGGAAUUUUCCAUCCUCCUGCCUCAGCAGGAUGACAGGUGUGCUACUUUUUUAAUCCAGUAAACUGUUGAAACUUCAGGGCCACGCAUGGCAUGGUGGCAAAUGCCUCUAGUCCCAGCAGAGGCAAACCAGUUCAGGUGUGGCCCCAGUGAGAAAGCAAACCGAGAACUCUUGACUUUUUCAGACCGGAAAGUUCUCUUUAAGGCAUUUGGUGGUGGCGGUGGGUGUUUUUGUUUUUUUGUUUUUUUUUUUUUUUUGGGGGGGGGUAGGUGGAGGUAUCUGGGGUCAUUUUCAUCCAGACAUUUUUAUCCCGGUAUCUUGCCCAGGCUGCCCUGGAACUCACAAUCCUCCUGCCUGAAUGUCUAAUUUGUCAUUUAAUAAAUCAGCAGGUUGGGGGCAUUAAGGAGUCCGCGAGCACAGACUGCAAGGACCCUCCUCACCAGGGACCUGGACCUAAUCAAAUCCGCAAAAGACAGCCCUAGGGGGUUGGGGAUUUAGCUCAGUGGUAGAGCGCUUGCCUAGGAAGCGCAAGGCCCUGGGUUCGGUCCCCAGCUCCGAAAAAAAAAAAAAAGAAAGAAAAAGAAAAGACAGUCCGGGCAUCGUGAGCCCACGCCUGUAAUCCCAGCACUUGGCAAUGCUGAGGUAGGAGGAUUACACCGAGUUCGAGGCAGCCUAGGCUACAAAAUGAGACCAGAAGUCUAAAUAAUCCCCUUCGAAAAGUGCCUCAGUGGUUCCCCAUGACUGCCAGGCCGCACGGCAGGAGGAAAGUGGCGGAAAACGCCUCCUCCUCCUCCUUCAGGAAGCCCUCCCGGCUCGACUUGGGCCGGAAACUGGCUGAACUCCCCGCGAGCUUCUGCGCCUGCGCGCUGGGAGCACCCACCACCGGGCACCCCAUCUCCGGUUCCGCCUUCCCGCCGGCAGGACCCCCAGGCCGAGCCGCGCCCGCCCAGCGUGCCCCGCAACCCGGCUCCGCCCGCGCCACAGCCGUUCCUACCUCUUCCCCCGGCACCGGCUUGGUCGCGUGUCGGUGACGUCACCGCAUCUGCGCACUUAUCUAUUGGUGGCGCUCCGCUCAUGACGUUUCGAGUGCCGCCAUCUUGGUAGAGCAUUUAUGAACAAAAGAGGAGGAUAAAAGCUACACUCUAAAACAAUGACCUCACCAAGAUGGCCGCUGCCCGGAGGAAAGAUUGCGAGGCCGGCCCUAGCCCUAAGCGCGACGGCCCGGACAUGGUUGCCGUGCCGCCAGGGGGCGUCCGUGCCCCACGCGGGGUGUGGGCCUGGCUGCUCCCGGCUCUUUGUCAGGCCAAUGGUUACCCCAGCUCAAAAAAAGUCCGAAGACAUUCUUUGCCCUGUUGGAGUCGGGAAACUGAGGAUCAGAGGGAGUAGAAAUUGGAUUAGACUAAAUGCAACUGACGUAGCGGUAUUUUCCUCACAGGACGAUGGGGCUCGAAGGAGAAGGACUGACUAAAAGUGGCCUGAGCUAAAAGUGACACUGUCUCAAAAUUAACUGAAUAUAGCCGAAUCACUAAAUAAAUCGCAGCUACUCGGUGUCCUCUGCUGCCCGCGUCAGCCCCUCCCUUGUUGUUGAAGCCGAUUCUCACCGUGUAACCCUUUUGCUUUUCUUUACUCACCCCCCCCGCUAGUUUUUUUGAUGCUUCUGUUGCUUCAUUGGUGAUUAAAUUAAUCUUAGUCUGUAAUA